GGCGCCAAUAAAUACCAAAAAAUUAAAAUAUUUAAUUGCAUAUGUAAAUAAUCAAAAUCUCACUAGCAAUAACAUAUUAGCAAAUAUUUCAAUUCCAAAAAUUAAAAUUAGAUUGUAGAUACUAAAAGUCUAGAACUUGAAUGAGUCAAUGACUCAAUAAUUCAUAAGUGACAAGACAAGCAACACUAAAAUUUAAGCAAUAGUGCAAUACUAAAAGUCCAUUGAAUUUGAACCUACUGUUUAUAACUGUAUAACAAAAUUUAAACAAUUAUUGAACAGAAAAAAUAGGAGCAAAACAACCACUGCCUCACUGGUCCAAACAGAGAAAAAAAAACAGAGGAAAAAACAGAGGAGAAAAAAACAGAGCAAACAACAGAGGAGAAAAAAACAGAGAAAAAACAGAAAAAGAAGAAGAGAAUAGAAGAAGGGAAAAAAAAAAACAGAGGUGGCCGGAAAUAGGGCAGUUGUCGAAAAUAAGAAAGAAGAAGAAAGAAGAAGAACUGAAGAAAAAGAAGAAGGAGAAAGAGACGUACCUGAAACCUUGAAGGAGAAGAGAGAGGAGGCAAACAAAAAACCCUAGCUGCUAUUUUUAUUUAAGUCCUCCACUUCAUUUAAGUCCUCCACUUCUUUUAAUUGUUUUUUUU